rnacentral:SRP_RNA from 1 species
GCCAGGCCCGGUGGCCCGUGCCUGUAGUCCCAGCUACUCGGGAGGCUGAGGUGGGAGGAUUGCUUGAGCCCAGGAGUUCUGGGCUGUAGUGCACUAUGCCGAUGGGGUGUCCGCACUAAGUUCAGCAUCAAUACGGUGACCUCUCGGUAGCAGGAGACCACCAGGCUGCCUAAGGAGGGGUGAACCGGCCCAGGUUGAAAACAGAGCAGGUCAAAACUCCCGUGCUGAUUGGUAGUGGGAUCGUGCCUGUGAAUAGCCACUGCACUCCAGCCUGGGCAACAUAGCGAGACCCUGUCUCU